GACAGCAGUAGCCACGGGAAUACGAAGGGUGCAAGCGUUAAUCGGAUUUACUGGGCGUAAAGCGUGCGUAGGCGGCUUCUUAAGUCGGAUGUGAAAUCCCUGAGCUUAACUUAGGAAUUGCAUUCGAUACUGGGAAGCUAGAGUAUGGGAGAGGAUGGUAGAAUUCCAGGUGUAGCGGUGAAAUGCGUAGAGAUCUGGAGGAAUACCGAUGGCGAAGGCAGCCAUCUGGCCUAAUACUGACGCUGAGGUACGAAAGCAUGGGGAGCAAACAGGAUUAGAUACCCCGGUAGUCCCUGUCUCUUAUAC
rnacentral:rRNA from 1 species